AGCCCUGUAAGAUAGCGGUCAAGUCUCAAUGCCUUUGGAGCAUUGUACCCAGGUUCGAAUCCUGGCGGGGCUA
rnacentral:tRNA from 1 species